UACGUAGGGUGCAAGCGUUUAAUCGGAAUUACUGGGCGUAAAGCGUGCGCAGGCGGUUAUGCAAGACAGAUGUGAAAUCCCCGGGCUCAACCUGGGAACUGCAUUUGUGACUGCAUGGCUAGAGUGCGGCAGAGGGGGAUGGAAUUCCGCGUGUAGCAGUGAAAUGCGUAGAGAUCGAGCGGAACACCAGUGGCGAAGGCGAGUUCCUGGACAAGUCCUGACGGCUGAGGCACGAAAGCCAGGGGAGCAAAACAGG
rnacentral:rRNA from 1 species